CGCGUAGGUGGUUUGUUAAGUUGGAUGUGAAAGCCCACGGCUCAACCGUGGAGGGUCAUUGGAAACUGGAGAACUUGAGUACAGAAGAGGAAAGCGGAAUUCCACGUGUAGCGGUGAAAUGCGUAGAGAUGUGGAGGAACACCAGUGGCGAAGGCGGCUUUCUGGUCUGUAACUGACGCUGAGGCGCGAAAGCGUGGGGAGCAAACAGGAUUAGAUACCCUAGUA
rnacentral:rRNA from 1 species